CAGCUUCAUAUAUGUUUAAGACAUAUAUGGAUGGUCACUGCAGUGCCCUUUUUGUGGGCUGGGAUUUCUAUUGCCCAUGCUUUUUCCAAAGGAAACUUUUCCAGACUGCACCAUUCGUGUGUCGAAGGACAUGGAGCUGUUUGUGCCUGAGAGCCUGAGCAGAGCUCAAAUGAGAAUUCUAAAGGCAACACAAGCCCCCAGGACAUUGUUUUCCAGUCCAUGAGCAGAAGCUUUUGGCUGCUGAAGUUCCCCUCUGUCUCAUCUGAAGCUGCUGUAAAGCAUUUGCCAAUGCCCUGAUGUUCCCCCACCCAAAGAGAAUUAAUGGCUGAGCUGGAAUGAAGAGCACAGCACAGAGAGCAGGCAUGGCCCAGACCUCACAGCACUAAUUAUGCCCUUAAAGGGACUGAAUUGCUACUUUUGGACAGUCACAGGAGCUGCUCUGGAAAUGCUUGCUGGAGCAAAUGCAAAUAUAUCAUUACAACACUGAAUUAAGGGUCAAGGAAAAUACUGUUGCUAAGAAGCUGGACACACUGAAGAUAUUCAAGACUGAUGGACCAGAACCUCUUGCAUCCAUACCUGUGAAAAAUGGAAAAGACAAAGUUGAAGGGGGAAGCAGCUUGAACCUACUGGCUAGCCUGGGAAUGAGGAUCUGCUCGCUGCUGGUGCCAUCCCCCCCCUCGGUGGUGGCCUUCACCUCGAUGAUAUAAUCGUCGUUGGACUGGAGCCACAGCUCGGCCGUCGUCUGCUCCGUGCUCAGCACCUUCACACUGCUCUGGCUGCUGGUCCUGUACAAAACCUGCAACACAGGCAACAUCCUCCUCUAGGAC